CUUCAGUGAUGAUACGAUGACGAGUCGGAACAGGACUCAGUCUGGUUCUGGUGGUCUCGCUGGUUCAGGUCCACGUUCUGUGGUUCUGCUCCAGUUCCCCAGAGCAGCGAGUCCUCCUGGUUGAAGACAUCGAGGCAUUUGUCUGAGAAGG